rnacentral:rRNA from 1 species
UACGUAGGCAGCAAGCGUUGUUCGGAAUUUCUGGGCGUAAAGAGUGUGUAGGCGGUGCUCUAAGUUUGGUGUGAAAUCUCCCGGCUUAACCGGGAGGCUGCAUCGAAUACUGGAAUGCUAGAGGGUGGGAGAGGUAAGCGGAAUUCCUGGUGUAGCGGUGAAAUGCGUAGAUAUCUGCAGGAACACCCGUGGCGAAAGCGGCGCGCUGGACCACUACUGACGCUGAGGAACGAAAGCUAGGGGAGCAAACAGG